UUUAAAACAAAAAAUUACAAAGUUCACCCCUACAAGUUAAUGGCUACAGUGGACACAAAUUAGACGCCCACUCCUGUUUCCUAACCGAAGACUGAAAGCAGGGAAUAUAUUGUGAACAAGCAUAUUAGUUACAGACUUCACUGGUAACCUUAACAACACUUAAUGAACUAAAGAAUGUUGUCAAGCCUCAUGUAAAAGAGCCUAUAACCUUCCACAUGGACAGAGAGCUAAAGCAGAGAAAAAAGUGCUCUCCCCUACUACCAUAACUAGCUUGGCCCUGAAAAUUAAGAAAAAUCAGGCAGAAGCAAAAAUAUUAAUAUGGAAUUAAUAAACACUGAAGAAGUAAUGGAUGUAAACAAUAGCAAGGCCUUGGUUAAAGAAUCUAGGAAGAAAUGUUAAAGGCCUGUGGCUGGAGCGGAAGGAAUAAGAACACAAAAGCAAAGUAAUAGACGUAUUAGAAGAAAAAUCCAUAUCGAAGAGUUUGGAACAGCUUCUAAACGUCAUAAAACAAUGAGUCAAGGAGUACUCUUAUAGAACAACAAUAAAGACAUACUCUUAUAAUCACUCGUGCUGAACAAAUAAAAGGUACAUAUAUAAAAACAUUGCAAAUGGACGAAAGUCACUGCAACCCUUCUAGAGCAAAGAACCAGUAUUACCCGUUCCUCCCCAAACACUACACAUUUUUAGAGAGAAUGGAAUCCAAAUGUUUCUCAGGACUUGAAUGUAUAUUAGAGUUUUUAAGUAAACAUACCAGGCAAAUAAAAUCCCAACUGCUAUCAAGUGUCAUUACAUUUGGCUCAUAGGCCAGAAAGCAUGUUACUGCUAUAAAAACACAGAAUAAGAGCAAUGAGAAUGAGCUGCUAUACAGAAAGAUGUCAGAGAGGGAGGAAAAGGAGGAUUAUAUAAACUGGAGAAGCAGUAAAAGAAAAACCCAGUUUUAAUAUUAUGUACAUAAAUGGAAUCUAGCUAAUAACCAAGGCAAAUAGGUAAAUCUACACCUGCAGCUCAAAAGAUCCCAUACGGACGCCAGGAUCGCAGCUAAAGUUUUCAUGAGAAGAUGAGAUGGCACAGAAUGAUGAAAAAGCCCAGGAUUAGAGAAGAGACAAGGUCACUCACUGUCAAAUACACAGAUGCCCGACAAAGAUUACCCAGAGAGACAAAGAAAGAAAUAUGAAUCUGGAAGAUAUUCAAAGGAAAGGCUACUUCCGAUUUUAAGGAAUGUGGAUUGCUACCCCUUGCCAUGACUGGUCGAGCCUAAGGUGGGCUCUGCCCUUAAAAAAGAAAUGCGGACAGCAGCAAAAAUGGGUUAUCAACCCAGGAUGAGAGUGUACAAGAGACCUGAGAGCAAAAUUUGCGGAUGAAAGAACUCAAAAGACGGUUUUUCAAUAAGUCACUACUACCUGGUAACAGAUUGCUCUUGAUACCAGUUGAUGACCUAAUGAGACAGAUAAAUGUAAAAGGUAUUUAUCAAAUGUAGCCCAAUACAGAAGAAAAAACA